AAGUCGUAACAAGGUCUCCGUAGGUGAACCUGCGGAGGGAUCAUUAAAGAGAUAGGGUUCUUAACGAGCCCGACCUCCAACCCUUUGUCUACCAAACCUCUGUUGCCUCGGCGGGUCGUCGGUUCCCUUUACCGGGUGCCGCCGUCGGCCCCAGCGCUCUCGAGUGCCCGCCGCAGGACUAUCAAACCCUCUUUUAAAUUAGUUUAUUCUGAGUGAAAUUUAAUGCUUCAAUUAAAACUUUCAACAACGGAUCUCUUGGUUCUG
rnacentral:misc_RNA from 1 species